rnacentral:rRNA from 1 species
UACGGAGGAUGCGAGCGUUAUCCGGAUUUAUUGGGUUUAAAGGGUGCGCAGGCGGAUUUUUAAGUCAGCGGUCAAAUCGUGGGGCUCAACCCCAUCCAGCCGUUGAAACUGGGGAUCUAGAGUGUGCGAGAGGUAUGCGGAAUGCGUGGUGUAGCGGUGAAAUGCAUAGAUAUCACGCAGAACCCCGAUUGCGAAGGCAGCAUACCGAUGCACAACUGACGCUCAGGCACGAAAGCGUGGGUAUCGAACAGG